rnacentral:tRNA from 1 species
GAGGGUAGAGUUCAGUGGUAAAGCGCAUGCUUAGCAUGCACAAGGUCCUGAGUUCAACCCCCAGUACCUCCA